AGGAAUAUUGGUCAAUGGUCGGCAGACUGAACCAGCCAAGUCGCGUGAGGGAAGACGGCCCUACGGGUUGUAAACCUCUUUUGUCGGAGAGUAAAGUACGUUACGCGUAGCGUAUUGCAAGUAUCCGAAGAAAAAGCAUCGGCUAACUCCGUGCCAGCAGCCGCGGUAAUACGGAGGAUGCGAGCGUUAUCCGGAUUUAUUGGGUUUAAAGGGUGCGUAGGCGGCACGCCAAGUCAGCGGUGAAAUUUCCGGGCUCAACCCGGACUGUGCCGUUGAAACUGGCGAGCUAGAGUGCACAAGAGGCAGGCGGAAUGCGUGGUGUAGUGGUGAAAUGCAUAGAUAUCACGCAGAACCCCGAUUGCGAAGGCAGCCUGCUAGGGUGCGACAGACGCUGAGGCACGAAAGCGUGGGUAUCGAACAGGAUUAGAUACCCUGGUAGUCCACGCAGUAAACGAUGAAUACUAACUGUUUGCGAUACAAUGUAAGCGGUACAGCGAAAGCGUUAAGUAUUCCACCUGGGGAGUACGCCGGCAACGGUGAAACUCAAAGGAAUUGACGGGGGCCCGCACAAGCGGAGGAACAUGUGGUUUAAUUCGAUGAUACGCGAGGAACCUUACCCGGGCUCAAACGCAGGGGGAAUAUAUAUGAAAGUAUAUAGCUAGCAAUAGUCACCUGCGAGGUGCUGCAUGGUUGUCGUCAGCUCGUGCCGUGAGGUGUCGGCUUAAGUGCCAUAACGAGCGCAACCCCUAUGGACAGUUACUAACGGGUAAAGCCGAGGACUCUGUCUAGACUGCCGGCGCAAGCCGCGAGGAAGGUGGGGAUGACGUCAAAUCAGCACGGCCCUUACGUCCGGGGCGACACACGUGUUACAAUGGCAGGUACAGAAGGCAGCCAGUCAGCAAUGACGCGCGAAUCCCGAAAACCUGUCUCAGUUCGGAUUGGAGUCUGCAACCCGACUCCAUGAAGCUGGAUUCGCUAGUAAUCGCGCAUCAGCCAUGGCGCGGUGAAUACGUUCCCG
rnacentral:rRNA from 1 species